CGUAUAUUAAAGUUGUUGCAGUUAAAAAGCUCGUAGUUGGAUUUGUGGAUGAUCUUGAGGUCCACGUUUUGCGUUGGUACUAUUGAGAUUGUCCAUCCUUGGGUGGAAUCUGUGUGGCAUUAGGUUGUCGUGCAGGGGAUGCUCAUCGUUUACUGUGAAAAAAUUAGAGUGUUCAAAGCAGGCUUAUGCCGCUGAAUAUAUUAGCAUGGAAUAAUGAGAUAGGACUUGGGUGCUAUUUUGUUGGUUUGCGCACCUUGGUAAUGAUUAAUAGGGACAGUUGGGGG
rnacentral:rRNA from 1 species